GGAGGGGACAGCUCAGUGGUAGAGCGCACGCUUAGCAUGCACGAGGCCAUGGGUUCAAUCCCCAGUGCCUCCA
rfam:Camelus ferus unplaced genomic scaffold scaffold954, whole genome shotgun sequence.